rnacentral:rRNA from 1 species
AGCGGCGGACGGGUGAGUAACGCGUGGGUAACCUGCCUCAUACAGGGGGAUAACAGUUAGAAACGGCUGCUAAUACCGCAUAAGCGCACAGUACCGCAUGGUACGGUGUGAAAAACUCCGGUGGUAUGAGAUGGACCCGCGUCUGAUUAGGUAGUUGGUGGGGUAACGGCCUACCAAGCCGACGAUCAGUAGCCGACCUGAGAGGGUGACCGGCCACAUUGGGACUGAGACACGGCCCAA